rnacentral:lncRNA from 1 species
CUGCCGUCGACGGUAGGGUUGGGACAGCCGGGAGGGGGUGCGGGGACGAGGCGAGGAGGAAGAAUGGGGCAGCGAAGAGGGAAGCGGAGGACGACGAGGACGACGUUGCCGGUGCGGGAGGCGGAGAAGACGGCGCGGGCGAGGUCGGAGGUCGGGGGGCGCAGCAGAAAGGAGCCGGAGCAGCUCGCCGGUGGGUGCGCAGUGGGGUUGAGUGGUGGAAGAAGAGAUGAAGCAGGGGUAAUUUAGCCAAUACAGAAAUACAUUAGUCUGUAUGUGGGUCCAAUAACUCUCAAGGUGUAUAAAAUGGCAUGUUUGUGAAAGAGUGAGAAUUGUAAUGACAUAUUUAUGAUUAAGUGAAUUGUAGUGGCAUUUUUCUAAACCGUCAUAUUUGUAAAGGCAUGAAUCUAAUUAACUCUAUCGUAAAUGUUAAAAUUUAAUUAUGUGUUAAAUAUCCUGG